rnacentral:rRNA from 1 species
AUUGAACGCUGGCGGCAGGCCUAACACAUGCAAGUCGAACGAGUGGCGGACGGGUGAGGAAUGUCUGGGCAUCUGCAUGAUGGAGGGGGAUAACCACUGGAAACGGUCGCUAAUACCGCAUAAUCGAGUGUGCUCCCAGAUGGGUUUAGCUUGUAGGUGGUGUAAAGGCUCACCUAGGCGACGAUCCCUAGCUGGUCUGAGAGGAUGACCAGCCACACGGGAACUGAGACACGGUCCAGACUCCUACGGGAGGCAGCAGUGGGGAAUAUUGCACAAUGGGCGCAAGCCUGAUGCAGCCAUGCCGCGUGUAUGAAGAAGGCCUUAGGGUUGUAAAGUACUUUCAGCGGGGAGGCGUUACCCGCAGAAGAAGCACCGGCUAACUCCGUGCCAGCAGCCGCGGUAAUAC